GCCUGGGUAGCUGUGUCGGUUAAGCAUCUGACUUCAGUUCAGAUCAUGAUCUCGAGGUUUGUGGGUUCAAGCCCUGUGUGGGGCU
rnacentral:tRNA from 1 species